AUGCUUCUUCAAGCCAGGAGGAGUGUAUUUGAAAAAGAAGGGUAUUUCCAAGAAUUACCAACAACCGCCUGCGCUUCUCAUUUCUGCAACAGGAGCUGUGAGGAGUAUAUAUACCCAGCUGGAAGCAGUCAUCAGAGGCUUGGCCAACACAGUGGUAUCUUCGAGGUGGGCACCAGGCGAAGAUGGCUGUCUGUUUUGUGGGCGCUCGUAUCGCGCGUCGAUAAGAGAACGAGAAGCCGGCUUCGAUUUGUUGUUGCUUGGCUUUCUCAACAAAUCAGCCAUUAUAGUCUACAUUUUAAAUGGCAAAAUUAUGUUUCUAGACCAUGUAAUAAGAUGGCUGUGGAAAAGAAGCGCAAAAAAAAGGGCAUGCACUGGUUGCCCCACAAAAACAGAGCACGAAGCAGCAGCUCCUCUGUUUCAGCUAGCUGCAUCCGCAUGCAUGCUCUGUUUCGUCCCUGGCCCUAG
rnacentral:rRNA from 1 species